rnacentral:rRNA from 1 species
AUGUUAAUAAACUCUAACAAAUCUGACAUUCACUUCCCGAGUGAGGAAGUUCUACACAGGGUCACUGGGUUUGUAGUUUUCAUCAAGUCUCACAAUGUCACUAUCGAGUUCAAGCCUUGGAAGCCAGAGGAGAUACCACACUGUUUCGAGCUGAUACCUAUUUGGGUCCGUGUGCAUGGGGUGCCUCACGCUCUCCGACACUUCUUGGGUCUGUGGGCGAUUGGCUCGGUGAUUGGCGCUACUCUCGACGUCGAUCUUCUCUGUUUACCUCGGAGAGGAAUUGUUCGUAUCCAGGUAGCCGUGCUGAACCUUGAUGCUUUCAAAAGCAGCACAAUUGACUCUCUCUCUACCGAUGUGGUGGUUCAAAGAAAAGGGGGCGACAAGGGGCAUGACAGGGAGGAUACAAUGAAGAGCAACGAUCCAAGCAAGAGGUCCAAACCCACUUCAUCUCCCAACAACUCUUCAGCCCUUCCUACCACGGGCGGAGUGGUGCCCAUGCAGAUGACCAGUGCCGUCACACCGCUGAACCCUCAUUGUGGUCUCCCUGUCACGGCUGCUUCUUCAUCAUUAAUGGGAUCUUCUUUGUCGGCACCGGCUUCUUCGUCUAUGGCUGCCCCUCCGACGACGUCGGCUCCUUUGUCUUUGGCGCCGCCGACUCCGACUCACGGGUCGGCACCGCCCCUUGACGAGGGGAGCCACGCGUGCCCUAUACCUAAGAGGGUGGCGCCUAUGGGGGUCACUGCGAGUGCUACAUCGUCGCUAACACCCGGCUCUCCGACUCGUCGGGGAGUGAUCUUCUCCCCGGCUGUUCGAGCUGGCCAGGAGUCGGCCAUGGCGGAGCUGCGAGCGCUGUCAUCUACUCCUUCGUCACCAGGGGGGCGUCGGCAUCCGGACUCGAGGAGGUUGAGGAGCAGCCCAUACGAUCUUCUUCUUCAUCGUCACAUUAGUCUACUCCGCCUCUCGGGGUCGCCGGGAUCCACCGAUGAGGACUCUAUGGUGAAGGCCAUGCGUAGGACGGCUGUCCGCAACCUCGACUUCGAUGGACGUAAUGAGCAAGAGGUAGAUUUUUCGGUUAAGGCUCUUAAACAAGUGGAGUUCGACCGGCUUACGGUUGCUCCUAAAUUGUCGAGCUUUGUUGACCCUCUCGUGUCAGAUGAGGAGGAUGAGGACGCUGAUGCCAAUCACGAAGGCAAGCUUCUCUCUCAUUUAGUUAAAGACACGACUAAAGUAGACCUUGACGAUACUGUACGCGACACUACGCUUUGUGAGCUUGUCGCUUCGGUGCGCAAGAACAAGUCUAACUCAGCAAAGAAAAGAGGGCACUCUUCUAAAAAGUCGCAGCCCAUCACAGCGCCCAUACUCAGUCGCUCUCAGUCUCACUCAACCCCUCGCCCAGCCCAUCACACAGCCCAUACUCAGCCGCUCGCAACCCCUAAAAAAAAAAUUCACCAUCUCGACGAGUCCCCACGCACCCGCACGGCACCCCGUGUCGCCGACGGCGAGGUUGCCUCCGGAUCCCACGGCGCCGACAGCAGAACCAGCCCUCCGCUUCCGCUCCGCAGGUCACUUGCGUUCCCCUUCUUGAAUCGUCGCACUGCAUUACUUUCCCGCCAAUCCCUCCUUGCAGGUAGCAUGAUUUGUUCCUGCGUCGCCCUCCUUGAUGGCGCCGUGAUUUAUGACGUACAUCAAGCUUUGGGGAAAACAAUUCAGUUGGUUCGGCUCUCGGACCAGGAUGAUCUCAUCAAGUGGAAUCUCACGAACAGCGCCAGUUAUUCUGCUAAUGUCGUUCAAUUUCGUCGGCAGAGCAGGUUUGGAAGAUCAUGGGAGAGGGAAAAUCAGGAGCCUGAAACAGCUGUGUGA